CACCUUGCGCAGUGGCAAUAUCGUAAUCAGUGAAGUCCUACUGAGAUGCGAUUAUUGUUAGUUGAAAACUAUAACCGUAAUGUCCACAAUCAAAAUUGAAAUUCAAUGUGCUCGUUGUACAUAAUACAUGUUCAGUUGUGGA